ensembl:lncRNA
AGUUGAAGCAGCAGCACAAGGAGCACUCGGAGCAGAGACUCGCCAUCGAGGAGCUGGAGAGGAACAUCCGACUGGCCGAAGACGUGUGUCCAGGGAUCACGGACAGAAUGGUCACGCACAUCCUCGCCAGAUUCACAAAUAACUGACGGUGCGGGCGUCUGACGCGUUUGUAAAGACUCUUUCGGGGUAAACGUGGGAGAUUUUGCUGUGCGAUGUCUCCGUGGCUGUACACACGUCUGUACCAUACACUUUAUUUCAUAUUUAAUCACUGCUGCUGGUUUUUCCAACUGGGAUCCACCUUUAAAAACCAAAUCACCAAAAUAUAUAUGAAACUUUUCUUUAUUUAUGUUAAAGUAAUUAAGCUGGACGAGUCUUUGUCACGUUAUGUACGGAGCUGUAGUGACGCUAACAGAG